rnacentral:rRNA from 1 species
CGCGUAGGCGGAUUGUUAAGUCAGAUGUGAAAACCGGGGGCUUAACCCGCGGCCUGCAUCUGAAACUGGCAGUCUUGAGUCUGGUAGAGGAAAGUGGAAUUCCCAGUGUAGCGGUGAAAUGCGCAGAUAUUGGGAGGAACACCAGUGGCGAAGGCGGCUUUCUGGGCCACGACUGACGCUGAGGCGCGAAAGCUAGGGGAGCGAACAGGAUUAGAUACCCUGGUAGUCCUAGCCGUAAACGAUGGGCACUAGGUGUGGGGGGUCAUCAACUCCCUCCGUGCCGCAGCUAACGCAUUAAGUGCCCCGCCUGGGGAGUACGGCCGCAAGGCUAAA